UGGGCCAAAAUGGGGGCAGCUGGAGAGACUCGCCCGGAACUGACAAGCCUGGAGGAAGCUGGUUGGCGAGAUGGGACAACAGGCGAAGAAUAAAUGAACCUACUUGAUUUGAUAAACAUUUUUAUAUUUUCCAGUUUCUCCUCACAACAAUUUGCAUCAAACUUCUUGUCUGUUUGGCAGACAAAACAUGCUGAUCAAAAAGAAUGUGUACCACAGGGGCCAGUGUUUCCAUUUGAGUGAUUGACAAGAAGAAGAGAUGAGAAAUGUUAUCAUCAUAUUUUACACUCUACAUUUAUAGUGUACAGCUCAAUGUAUUGAACUGGUGUUGUAGAAUAUAAUUGGAGAUACAUGCGAACAUUAUAACAUUAUAUAUAAGAUGAUAUUUCAAAAGCAAUAAGAAAGAAAAAGUAUAAAAGGUCAAAACAGUAGACCUUGUGUUUACAGUGGAUAGGCUUAAAGUGGAAGUGACUAGUUAACUGUUGAUCAUAAGCUGCACUGAUGGAAAAAAUAGUGGGAAAUUACUAUGUAGAAAACUGUUUAACGUACGACAACAGUUGUGGAACUUUAUA